rnacentral:lncRNA from 1 species
UUUUUCAUCCGUUGCUGCUUCACCAUGUGUUUGCACCUCCAGAAGUUCCUUUGCUGUUUUAACUUGUUAGGUUCCCCCCUCUUUAUCUUUUUUUACUUCUAGAAAUACUUCUGUGGCACAAAAGGAGAAAAAAAACUCUGCCCUUUGUGCUGUGUUUCUGUUCUCUUUGCUAUUCACUAAUUGAUCUAUUGUUUCCCACUUCUACAGGCUUUUCACCCAUUGCUGCCUUGACCGCCAGUUUGCCCCUCCAGAAGCACUUCUGUCACCCUUCUUUUAUUUAUUUGGGUCAUUCCAUACCGAAAAAACAAUAAGUCAAAAGCAAGAGGGGAUAAAGUUUUUGCUCCUGUUUACCGUGAUCUACCUGUUAAUGUUCAGCCCAUUUCCCCUGAAUAAACGCUUCUUCAUCUCCUCCUGCAUCCAACUAUCCAAGUAGCCACAACCCCACCCCCAAGAAAAAGGAAAGAGAGAAAAAAAAAUAUCUGUCAUUGGAGUUAUGUUACCUGCUUGCCUGUUUAUAUCCUCCUAGCUUUCCCCCAUUUUGUGUCUUUUGUCUUUACACUAUACCCGAUUCCGUGCAUUCUCAGA